GUGCCAGCAGCCGCGGUAAUACGGAAGGUCCGGGCGUUAUCCGGAUUUAUUGGGUUUAAAGGGAGCGCAGGCGGCGUUUAAGCGUGCUGUGAAAUGCCGCGGCUCAACCGUGGAAGUGCAGCGCGAACUGGAUGUCUUGAGUGAGUACGACGCGGACGGAAUUCGUGGUGUAGCGGUGAAAUGCUUAGAUAUCACGAAGAACCCCGAUUGCGAAGGCAGUCCGCGAGUCCUUUACUGACGCUAAAGCUCGAAGGUGCGGGUAUCGAACAGGAUUAGAUACCCUGGUAGUCCGCACGGUAAACGAUGGAUGCCCGCUGUUGGCGAUACAGUGUCAGCGGCCAAGAGAAAUCGUUAAGCAUCCCACCUGGGGAGUACGCCGGCAACGGUGAAACUCAAAGGAAUUGACGGGGGCCCGCACAAGCGGAGGAACAUGUGGUUUAAUUCGAUGAUACGCGAGGAACCUUACCCGGGCUUGAACUGCAGCAGAACGAUUCAGAGAUGAUGAGGCCCUUCGGGGCUGCUGUGGAGGUGCUGCAUGGUUGUCGUCAGCUCGUGCCGUGAGGUGUCGGCUUAAGUGCCAUAACGAGCGCAACCCUUUUCGCCAGUUGCCAUCAGGUGAUGCUGGGCACUCCGGCGAUACUGCCACCGUAAGGUGUGAGGAAGGUGGGGAUGACGUCAAAUCAGCACGGCCCUUACGUCCGGGGCUACACACGUGUUACAAUGGGUGGUACAGAGAGUCGGUGCAUGGCAAUAUGCAUCCAAUCAAUAAAGCCAUCCUCAGUUCGGAUUGGGUCUGCAACCCGACCCCAUGAAGCUGGAUUCGCUAGUAAUCGCGCAUCAGCCAUGGCGCGGUGAAUAUGUUCCCGGGCCUUGUACACACCGCCCGU
rnacentral:rRNA from 1 species